rnacentral:rRNA from 1 species
UAGAGGAAGUAAAAGUCGUAACAAGGUUUCCGUAGGUGAACCUGCGGAAGGAUCAUUAAUGUUAUAGCAACCCUCUGGCUGAAAAUGCCAGGGGGCACAUCUAUACCACCCUUUGUUUAUCACACCUUUGUUGCUUUGGCAGGCCAGUCUUCGGACUGCCGGCUCCGGCCGGACAGCGCCUGCCAGAGGACCUAAACUCUGUUUGUCUAUAAUGUCUGAGUACUAUAUAAUAGUUAAAACUUUCAACAACGGAUCUCUUGGUUCUGGCAUCGAUGAAGAACGCAGCGAAAUGCGAUAAGUAAUGUGAAUUGCAGAAUUCAGUGAAUCAUCGAAUCUUUGAACGCACAUUGCGCCCCCUGGUAUUCCGGGGGGCAUGCCUGUUCGAGCGUCAUUACAACCCUCAAGCUCUGCUUGGUAUUGGGCCCCGCCGACCCGGCGAGCCCUAAAAUCAGUGGCGGUGCCGUCUGGUUCCGAGCGUAGUAAUUCUUCUCGCUUUGGAGGCCGGGCGUGUGCUUGCCAGCAACCCCCAAUUUUUUUCAGGUUGACCUCGGAUCAGGUAGGGAUACCCGCUGAACUUAAGCAUAU